AUAAUGAUACUCCUGCCCAGCCACAGUCCGAGCGUGAUAAAACCGUCGCAGGCAAUGGGGGCAGCUCGGAUGAAUUCGGAGGGGUGAGAUUCCCGUGG
ncrna:unclassified sequences pemK RNA